rnacentral:rRNA from 1 species
AUGAACGCUGGCGGCGUGCCUAAUACAUGCAAGUCGAGCGAACAGACGAGGAGCUUGCUCCUCUGACGUUAGCGGCGGACGGGUGAGUAACACGUGGAUAACCUACCUAUAAGACUGGGAUAACUUCGGGAAACCGGAGCUAAUACCGGAUAAUAUAUUGAACCGCAUGGUUCAAUAGUGAAAGACGGUUUUGCUGUCACUUAUAGAUGGAUCCGCGCCGCAUUAGCUAGUUGGUAAGGUAACGGCUUACCAAGGCAACGAUGCGUAGCCGACCUGAGAGGGUGAUCGGCCACACUGGAACUGAGACACGGUCCAGACUCCUACGGGAGGCAGCAGUAGGGAAUCUUCUGCAAUGGGCGAAAGCCUGACGGAGCAACGCCGCGUGAGUGAUGAAGGUCUUCGGAUCGUAAAACUCUGUUAUUAGGGAAGAACAAAUGUGUAAGUAACUAUGCACGUCUUGACGGUACCUAAUCAGAAAGCCACGGCUAACUACGUG